rfam:Tropilaelaps mercedesae isolate Wuxi-XJTLT scaffold0000013912, whole genome shotgun sequence.
GCUAUCGGCCAUACCACGUUGAAUACGCCGGUUCUCGUCCGAUCACCGAAGCUAAGCAACGUUGG